CCCACACCCAUGUAUAUAGGACCCUAAAGGAUCAUCAUUAAAUUUAUCACAGAUCUCUAGAAAAGUUAUCACAUGGGUGUGGGAUUUGACUUUUCUAGAGAUCUGUGCCAAAUUUGAUAAUGAUCAUUUGGGAUCUUAUUCACAUGAGUGUGGG
rnacentral:pre_miRNA from 1 species